UAAUAGCCCGCGUGAGGGAUUGCAGUGGAGCUCUUUUUAUGUCUGGCGAUUUUUAUUCGCUAGACAUAAAAAAGCGGGAACGGAAAGCCCGACCCGAA
rnacentral:sRNA from 1 species